UCGAGAAUUUUUCACAAUGGGCGCAAGCCUGAUGGAGCGACGCCGCGUGGGGGAUGAAUGGCUUCGGCCCGUAAACCCCUGUCAUUUGCGAUCAACCGUUAUUGUUUAAGAGAUGAUAACCUGAUAGUAGCGAAAGAGGAAGGGACGGCUAACUCUGUGCCAGCAGCCGCGGUAAUACAGAGGUCCCAAGCGUUGUUCGGAUUCACUGGGCGUAAAGGGUGCGUAGGUGGCGAAGUAAGUCGGAUGUGAAAUCGCCGGGCGCAACUCGGAAACUGCAUUUGAAACUACGUUGCUUGAGGGUUGGAGGGGGGACUGGAAUACUUGGUGUAGCAGUGAAAUGCGUAGAGAUCAAGUGGAACACCAGUGGCGAAGGCGAGUCCCUGGACAACUCCUGACACUGAGGCACGAAAGCUAGGGGAGCAAACA
rnacentral:rRNA from 1 species